GCCAGCAUGGCACAGUGGUUUGAGCAUUGGACUACAACUCUGGAGACCAGGGUUCAAUUCCCCGCUCGGCCA